rnacentral:tRNA from 1 species
GGGGGUGUAGCUCAGCUGGCAGAGCGCCACGUUCGCAACGUGGAAGUCGGCGGUUCGAAUCCGCUCACCUCCA